rnacentral:rRNA from 1 species
UGAACGCUGGCGGCGUGUCUAAGGCAUGCAAGUCGAUUGGGUUUAGACCCAAGGCAAACGGGAGAGUAACACAUUGGUAACUUACCCUGAAGACGAGAAUAAUCAGCUGAAAAGCUGGAUAAUACUCGAUGGUCGUGGGGGGACAUAUGUCAUUCCCACGUAAAGCUUCGACGCUUCAGGAGAGGCCUACGUCUUAUCAGCUUGUUGGUGUGGGUAAAAGCCCACCAAGGCUAUGACGGGUAGCGGGUGUGAGAGCAUGACCCGCCUCACUGGGACUGAGACACUGCCCAGACUCCUACGGGAGGCUGCAGUCGAGAAUCUUCCCCAAUGCACGAAAGUGUGAGGGAGCGACGCCGCGUGUAUGAAGACGCCCUUCGGGGUGUAAAGUACUUUUUUAUGGGACGAAUUUCUGACGGUACCAUAAGAAUAAGGGGCUGCUAACCUC